AUUGAACGCUGGCGGCAUGCCUUACACAUGCAAGUCGAACGGUAACAGGUCUUCGGAUGCUGACGAGUGGCGAAUGGGUGAGUAAUACAUCGGAACGUGCCUAGUAGUGGGGGAUAACUACUCGAAAGAGUGGCUAAUACCGCAUGAGAUCUACGGAUGAAAGCAGGGGAUCGCAAGACCUUGUGCUACUAGAGCGGCCGAUGGCAGAUCAGGUAGUUGGUGGGAUAAAAGCUUACCAAGCCGACGAUCUGUAGCUGGUCUGAGAGGACGAUCAGCCACACUGGGAAUGAGACACGGCCCAGACUCCUACAGGAGUGAGCAGUGGGGAAUUUUGGACAAUGGGCGCAAGCCUGAUCCAGCAAUGCCGCGUGCAGGAUGAAGGCCUUCGGGUUGUCAACUGCUUUUGUACGGAACGAAAAGCCCUGGGUUAAUACCCUGGGGUCAUGACGGUACCGUAAGAAUAAGCACCGGCUAACUACGUGCCAGCCGCCGCAGUAA
rnacentral:rRNA from 1 species